UGUGUAAGCACAAGUGUGUCUGGCCACAAGACUUGACACCCUCACAGCUGGAGAGAAAACAUCCCAGCAACUGCACAGGACCAUGGAGAGGAAGCUGGGAGCUGUGCUGGGGAUUCUGUGGGUGUGGAUUUGCUGGGUGAGAGGAGUUGAGGUGGAGCAGAGUCCUUCAUACCCGAGUGUCCAUGAGGGAACCAGUGCUACGUUCGCAUGCAAUUUUUCUACAACCAUGACAUAUGUGAGGUGGUUCCAGCAGAAUCCCAGGGGCAGCCUCAUCAGUCUUUUUAACAUGGCUCUAGGAAAAAAGGAGAAUGGGAGGUUAACUGCAACAUUCAAUUCUAAGGAGCACUACAGCACCCUGCACAUCAAGGAGGCCCAGCUGGAGGACUCAGGAACCUACCUCUGUGCUGCUGAUGCACAGUGCUCCCAGCAAGUAUGAAGCCUGGCCCCAAACUGCAACUGGGUGUGCAGCUACAUUCCUGCCACAGGGAGAUUCUGCAGGAGGCGUUUGCACAGCUGUGGCUCUAUCAGAUCUCCACCAAUUACAAGGAAGGUGUGAGGAAGCAGAAAAUAGCACAGGAGAACUUCACACUUAAGCUGAUGUAACACUGAUUUGUAGAAGAACAAAUGCCCAGAAAUAACAGCGCACAUUA